CAAGCCAUGAGAAAAUAUGCAAUUUCCGAUCAGAUGAGCGCGAGCGACCGAAUUACGAAAUAUGGGAACGGAAAUAAUGCAUGAACAGCUGGCUUAAAGGGGCGAUGGAGUAAGUGGCGACAAUGAGCAUCGAAAUCAGCAGACCGUUAUCACACAAGUUGUAGAGAUGAUAGUCGCCGCUGCGUGAGUAACCUUCAACGCGAGUGUGCGCAGCACACUUGAAGAUAGAUUCACGGCAUAUGUAGAGAUGCUAAGAAAUUGCAGUAUCAAUAGCAAUCUCGGUUUUGCCGUCGAUUGAAAAACGUG